UACGUAGGGUGCAAGCGUUAAUCGGAAUUACUGGGCGUAAAGCGUGCGCAGGCGGUUUUGUAAGUCUGUCGUGAAAGCCCCGGGCUCAACCUGGGAAUUGCGAUGGAGACUGCAAGGCUUGAAUCUGGCAGAGGGGGGUAGAAUUCCACGUGUAGCAGUGAAAUGCGUAGAGAUGUGGAGGAACACCGAUGGCGAAGGCAGCCCCCUGGGCUAACACUGACGCUCAUGCACGAAAGCGUGGGGAGCAAACAGG
rnacentral:rRNA from 1 species